CAAGAUAGGGUCUUGAUUGGAGGGCAAAUUGUGUGGCACGCUCAAUUAAAAGAAAAGGCAGACAGAUUGUAAGGGGGCUCCUCAGGAAACUUCCCCAACAGCAAAGCUCAAUGGGAACCACGUGGGAUUUUAAAGCCAGACCUGAGUUCACAACUCUAGUUACGCUUCUUAUGAGUGGUGUGAUGUUGGGUGGGUCUCUGGAGUUUCCAUCUUCUCCUCUGUAAAGUGGGGAUGGUAAUACUAGGAUCACUGCAGGAUCAAAUGAGAUCAGGUGGGGAUGGCUCCCAGCGCAGCCUGACACGUGGUAGGAUGUUAGGUCUCUUGGAAACUAGAAUAACAUGCCACCACCACCUGGUGGCAAAAUUUGGAACUGCAAACAAAAGUCUCCAGACGAAAGCAGUUUUAAGACGGCUUGCCUUCUACAUUCAACUUGAUUAAAUAACAAAUGCCAAGAGGGCUUCAGAGGAGCUCCCUCGUGCACAGAAGAUUUCAGACUUUUAACUGAUGCCUUCUUGUGUCUCAGGUUUCAGGAGAACUGUGACCCAUGCAGGGGGUUUGAGUCCCGGUGAAAGUGGAGACCCUGUCAUCCUGAGAAUCAUCCCUUGGGGGAAACCAUCCUUUUCUAAAGCAGAAUUUCUCAACAGUGGAACUACUGACAUUUUGGACCGGUUCUUUCUUGUCCUGUGCACUGUAGCAGCGAUCCCCAACCAUUUUGGCAUCAGGGAUCGGUUUUGAGGAAGACAAUUUUUCCAUGGACUGGCAGGGUGGGAUGGUUUUGGAAUAAUUCAAGAGCACUACAUGUAUUGUACCCUUUCUUUCUAUUGUAAUAAUGUUGUCAUGUAUAAUGAAGUAAUUAUACAACUCACUAUAAUGUAGAAUCAGUGGGAGCCCUGAGCUUGUUUUCCUGCAACUAGAUGAUCCCAUUUGGGGGUGAUGGGAGACAGUGACAGGUCAUUUCAGGCAUUAGAUUCUCAUAAGGAGUACACAACCUAGAUCCCUCACACGCGCAGUUCAUAGUAGGAUUCAUGCUCCUAUGAGAAUCUAAUGCCGUGGCUGAUCUGAUAG
rnacentral:lncRNA from 1 species